UACGUAGGGUCCGAGCGUUGUCCGGAAUUACUGGGCGUAAAGAGCUUGUAGGCGGUUCGUCGCGUCGUUUGUGAAAACUUGGGGCUCAACCUUAAGCUUGCAGGCGAUACGGGCGGACUAGAGUACUUCAGGGGAGACUGGAAUUCCUGGUGUAGCGGUGAAAUGCGCAGAUAUCAGGAGGAACACCGGUGGCGAAGGCGGGUCUCUGGGAAGUAACUGACGCUGAGAAGCGAAAGCAUGGGUAGCAAACAGGAUUAGAAACCCUGUAGUCC
rnacentral:rRNA from 1 species